UGUGAUGUGUUAUUUCAAACUAGU
rnacentral:miRNA from 1 species